AUAUAUACAGCAGUCGAACAAAAAGCUGCGUUUCGUAGAAAAAUUCGAUUUCUCUAAAGCCCUAAAACUAAACGACUAUCCCCAAUUUCAACUUCUAGGGUUUCUCCCACUUUCUCCAAUCUAUACGCCAUUUUCGAUUUACUUUUUGAUUCGUCGACCAUGUCUCGAAUUCAAACGAUGACUUGAGUGUUUCUUCUGUUCCUGCAGAGUUUAAUGGCGGAUACGCCUUCGAGCCCGGCCGGAGAUGGCGGAGAAAGCGGCGGCUCCGUUAGGGAGCAGGAUCGAUACCUUCCUAUAGCUAAUAUCAGCAGGAUCAUGAAGAAAGCGUUGCCUCCUAAUGGAAAGAUUGGUAAAGAUGCUAAGGAUACUGUUCAGGAAUGUGUUUCUGAGUUCAUCAGCUUCAUCACUAGCGAGGCCAGUGAUAAGUGUCAAAAAGAGAAAAGGAAAACUGUGAAUGGUGAUGAUUUGUUAUGGGCAAUGGCAACAUUAGGAUUUGAGGAUUACCUGGAACCUCUAAAGAUAUAUCUAGCGAGGUACAGGGAGUUGGAGGGUGAUAAUAAGGGAUCAGGAAAGAGCGGAGAUGGAUCUAAUAGAGAUGCAGGUGGAGGUGUUUCUGGUGAAGAAAUGCCGAGCUGGUGAAAGAAGUAGUGAUCAAGAACAAGGCCAAAUGAUCAAGUAAUUCUUCUCUCUAAUACACAGCCUCAUGUACACAAAUGAAGAGCAUAGUCUAUAUGCAUGGGAAAUUAGAGAUCAGUGAGUUGUUUAUAGUUGAGCUGAUCGACAACUAUUUCGGGUUUACUCUCAAUUUCGGUUAUGUUAGUUUGGACUUUUGGUUUUCUAUUUCCGGUUUAGUUGGUUGUAUUUAAAGAUUUCUCUGUUAGAUUUGAGAACACUUUGAAAUUUGAAUGAAGGAAAAAUUUGUCCA